UACGAAGGGUGCAAGCGUUACUCGGAAUUACUGGGCGUAAAGCGUGCGUAGGUGGUUCGUUAAGUCUGAUGUGAAAGCCCUGGGCUCAACCUGGGAAUGGCAUUGGAAACUGGCGAGCUAGAGUACGGUAGAGGAGAGUGGAAUUCCCGGUGUAGCAGUGAAAUGCGUAGAGAUCGGGAGGAACAUCAGUUGCGAAGGCGGCUCUCUGGACCAGUACUGACGCUGAGGCACGAAAGCGUGGGGAGCAAACAGG
rnacentral:rRNA from 1 species